rfam:Daphnia pulex DAPPTscaffold_73_Cont3715, whole genome shotgun sequence.
GGUCGUGUGGCCUAAUGGAUAAGGCGUCGGACUUCUAUGGAAGUAGUUAUCCGAAAAUUGCGUGUUCAAGUCCCGCCACGAUUA